rfam:Salmo salar isolate Sally breed double haploid chromosome ssa05, whole genome shotgun sequence.
UGGCUCAGUUGGUAGAGCAUGGUGUUUGCAACGCCAGCAUGGUGAGUGCAACGCCAGGGUUGUGGGUUUGAUUCCCAC